rnacentral:rRNA from 1 species
AUUGAACGCUGGCGGCAUGCUUUACACAUGCAAGUCGAACGGUAACAGGCCUUCGGGUGCUGACGAGUGGCGAACGGGUGAGUAAUGCAUCGGAACGUACCCAGAGGUGGGGGAUAACGCAGCGAAAGCUGUGCUAAUACCGCAUGUGAUCUGAGGAUGAAAGCGGGGGACCGAGCAGCAAUGUUUGGCCUCGCGCCUUUGGAGCGGCCGAUGUCGGAUUAGCUAGUUGGUGGGGUAAAGGCCUACCAAGGCGACGAUCCGUAGCUGGUCUGAGAGGACGACCAGCCACACUGGGACUGAGACACGGCCCAGACUCCUACGGGAGGCAGCAGUGGGGAAUUUUGGACAAUGGGCGCAAGCCUGAUCCAGCAAUGCCGCGUGCGGGAAGAAGGCCUUCGGGUUGUAAACCGCUUUCGGCAGGAACGAAACGGUGUCCGCUAAUACCGGGCGCUAAUGACGGUACCUGCAGAAUAAGCACCGGCUAACUACGUA